rnacentral:rRNA from 1 species
GUACGGGAGGCAGCAGCUAAGAAUCUUGCGCAAUGGGCGAAAGCCUGACGCAGCAAUUCCGCGUGGGGGACGAAGGCCCUCGGGUCGUAAACCCCUUUUGUGAGGGAAGAAGUUCUGACGGUACCUCACGAAUAAGACACGGCUAACUACGUGCCAGCAGCCGCGGUAAUACGUAGGUGUCGAGCGUUGUCCGGAUUUAUUGGGCGUAAAGCGCCCGCAGGCGGCUUGGUAAGUUCGAGGUGAAAUCUCCCGGCUCAACUGGGAGGGUGCCUCGAAAACUAUCAGGCUUGAGGCAGGGAGAGGGAUGUGGAAUUCCCGGUGUAGUGGUGAAAUGCGUAGAUAUCGGGAGGAACACCAGUGGCGAAGGCGGCAUCCUGGCCCUGUCCUGACGCUCAGGGGCGAAAGCGUGGGGAGCAAACCGGAUUAGAUACCCCGGUAGUCC